UGCUGGAUAGCUUGGUUGGUAGAGUGUGAGACUUUUAAUUGCAGGGUUGUGGGUUUGAGCCCCACAUGGAGCAA